GAUGAACGCUGGCGGCGGGCUCCCCACAUGCAAGUCGAACGAAGCAUUUACAACAGAUUUCUUCGGAUUGAAGUUGUUUAUGACUGAGGGGCGGACGGGUGAGUAACGCGGGGGUAACCUGCCUCAUACAGGGGGAUAGCAGCUGGAAACGGCUGGUAAUACCGCAUAAGCGCACGGUAUCGCAUGAUACAGGGGGAAAAACUCCGGGGGUAUGAGAUGGACCCGCGUCUGAUUAGCUAGUUGGGGAGGUAACGGCCCACCAAGGCGACAAUCAGUAGCCGACCUGAGAGGGGGACCGGCCACAUUGGGACUGAAACACGGCCCAAACUCCUACGGGAGGCAGCAGGGGGGAAUAUUGCACAAGGGGGGAAACCCUGAUGCAGCGACCCCGCGGGAGCGAAGAGGUAUUUCGGUAUGUAAAGCUCUAUCAGCAGGGAAAAAGAAUGACGGUACCUGACUAAAAAGCACCGGCUAAAUACGUG
rnacentral:rRNA from 1 species